rnacentral:SRP_RNA from 1 species
UCUCGGGCUCCGUGCAACGCUCCGGCUGCAAACCCCGCCAGGUCCGGAAGGAAGCAACGGUAGUGGUUUGGACGUGUGCCGCGGAUUACCCGGGGCCU